CCUACGGGUGGCUGCAGUGGGGAAUUUUGGACAAUGGGGGCAACCCUGAUCCAGCCAUGCCGCGUGCGGGAAGAAGGCCUUCGGGUUGUAAACCGCUUUUGUCAGGGAAGAAAUCUUCCGAGCUAAUACCUUGGGAGGAUGACGGUACCUGAAGAAUAAGCACCGGCUAACUACGUGCCAGCAGCCGCGGUAAUCCGUAGGGUGCAAGCGUUAAUCGGAAUUACCGGGGGCAGUGCGUGCAGAGGCGGGUGAAAUCCCCGGGCUUAACCUUGGAACUGCACUUGUGACUGUACGGCUGGAGUACGGCAGAGGGGGAUGGAAUUCCGCGUGUAGCAGUGAAAUGCGUAGAUAUGCGGAGGAACACCGAUGGCGAAGGCAGUCCCCUGGGCCUGUACUGACGCUCAUGCACGAAAGCGUGGGGAGCAAACAGGAUUAGAUACCCCUGUAGUC
rnacentral:rRNA from 1 species